AACGCACGAGACCUGCGGACCUGCGGAGGGAUCAUUACCGAGUUUACAACUCCCAAACCCCUGUGAACAUACCACUCGUUGCCUCGGCGGAUCACCGCGCCCCGUGAAACGGGCCGGCCCGCCAGAGGACCUAAACUCAAAUGUUUUAUUGUAUCUUCUGAGUAAAAACACAAAUAAAUCAAAACUUUCAGCAACGGAUCUCU
rnacentral:misc_RNA from 1 species